AGGAGCUUGCUCCUUUGACGUUAGCGGCGGACGGGUGAGUAACACGUGGGUAACCUACCUAUAAGACUGGAAUAACUUCGGGAAACCGAAGCUAAUGCCGGAUAACAUGUAGAACCGCAUGGUUCUACAGUGAAAGAUGGCUUUGCUAUCACUUAUAGAUGGACCCGCGCCGUAUUAGCUAGUUGGUAAGGUAACGGCUUACCAAGGCAACGAUACGUAGCCGACCUGAGAGGGUGAUCGGCCACACUGGAACUGAGACACGGUCCAGACUCCUACGGGAGGCAGCAGUAGGGAAUCUUCCGCAAUGGGCGAAAGCCUGACGGAGCAACGCCGCGUGAGUGAUGAAGGUCUUCGGAUCGUAAAGCUCUGUUAUUAGGGAAGAACAAGUGCGUAAGUAACUGUGCGCACCUUGACGGUACCUAAUCAGAAAGCCACGGCUAACUACGUGCCAGCAGCCGCGGUAAUACGUAGGUGGCAAGCGUUAUCCGGAAUUAUUGGGCGUAAAGCGCGCGUAGGCGGUUUCUUAAGUCUGAUGUGAAAGCCCACGGCUCAACCGUGGAGGGUCAUUGGAAACUGGGAGACUUGAGUGCAGAAGAGGAAAGUGGAAUUCCAUGUGUAGCGGUGAAAUGCGCAGAGAUAUGGAGGAACACCAGUGGCGAAGGCGACUUUCUGGUCUGUAACUGACGCUGAUGUGCGAAAGCGUGGGGAUCAAACAGGAUUAGAUACCCUGGUAGUCCACGCCGUAAACGAUGAGUGCUAAGUGUUAGGGGGUUUCCGCCCCUUAGUGCUGCAGCUAACGCAUUAAGCACUCCGCCUGGGGAGUACGACCGCAAGGUUGAAACUCAAAGGAAUUGACGGGGACCCGCACAAGCGGUGGGAGCAUGUGGUUUAAUUCGAAGCAACGCGAAGAACCUUACCAAAUCUUGACAUCCUUUGACCACUCUGGAGACAGAGCUUUCCCCUUCGGGGGACAAAGUGACAGGUGGUGCAUGGUUGUCGUCAGCUCGUGUCGUGAGAUGUUGGGUUAAGUCCCGCAACGAGCGCAACCCUUAAGCUUAGUUGCCAUCAUUAAGUUGGGCACUCUAAGUUGACUGCCGGUGACAAACCGGAGGAAGGUGGGGAUGACGUCAAAUCAUCAUGCCCCUUAUGAUUUGGGCUACACACGUGCUACAAUGGACAAUACAAAGGGCAGCUAAACCGCGAGGUCAUGCAAAUCCCAUAAAGUUGUUCUCAGUUCGGAUUGUAGUCUGCAACUCGACUACAUGAAGCUGGAAUCGCUAGUAAUCGUAGAUCAGCAUGC
rnacentral:rRNA from 1 species